CAUUGUUAAACCCGGCAUGCCAAGUGGUUUUGCCUUCUGGCAAAUCUCCAAACCAUAAUUAUUAAGGGACUCCGAGCUGCUGAGGAAUUCUUGGGUUACAGAGGCUUUGAUCUGCCUUCUCUCCCCCACAUGAAUUUCCAUGGGUAUGGCUGACUUUCAUUGUUGGUCCCUGGCAGUGGGGCUGCUUCGAAGAUGCCUUAGGAAGAUGCAGAUGAGCUCAUGCCGGAAACGGGAGACCUUUCUUCCCACUCAAGGUGAAGAGUACAUCAUGAGAAAUGCUGGACUGGAAGAAACACAAGCUGGAAUCAAGAUUGCCA